UAUGUAUGGUAAGUAAAAAAAACAGAAGCCACACUUUAAAAAGAAGCUACUUCAGUCAGGCUGAAGCGAUUUGGACCUGUGCACUUUGAGUACAGACUGACCCCUAUUGGUGACCCAACUAUGGUUGUUGAGUGGCUCCAUGAUAGCAAGCCACUGGAAGCUGCUAACACACUUCGUAUGAUCAAUGAGUUUGGCUAUUGCAGUCUUGAUUAUGAAGUUGAUAAGUCUAGAGAUAGCGGUGUCAUUACUUGCAGAGCCACCAACAAAUUUGGGGCUGACCAGACCUAGGCUACACUAAUUGUGAAGGAUGAAAAGAAUCCAGUGAAGGAUAGUCAGUUGCCAGAAGGUAAAAUAGUACAGAGAAUAGAUGAAAUGGAGUGAAUUGCUCAUGAGGGUGCACCCUCAGGGGUAACUGGAGAUGACAUGACAGAGAAGACCAAACCAGAACCCAUAAAAGUAUUUGAGGGUGAAACUGUAGAGUGACCGGUUAUCCCACUCCCAAAGUUAACUGGUACCUCAAUGGACCAAGCCAAAUACACUUUUAAAGUAGGUGGUCUGAAAACAAGUGCCACACUUAAGAUGAAAUUGUGUCCUGUAACUCUAAUGCCUGGCCUCUCUGAUCUGACAGUUUGUGAGGGUGAUAUUGCACAGCUGGAGGUGCGAUUCUCUUAGGAAAAUGUGGAGGGAACAUGGAUGAAAAAUCGCCAUCCCAUCUCUGCCACAGACAGAAUUCACAUUGUCAUUGACAAACUUGUCCACAAACUUCUGGUUGAAAAUGUCAACAGGGAUGAUGCUGGAAUUUAUUAAUUUGUUGUUUCCAUUCAAGACAUUUCUACAAAUGGAAAACUUUCUGUCCAAACAAUUGAAAUCAUAUCACCUCUUAAGGAUGUUCAUUCUAUUGAGGGUACAAAGGCAGUACUAGAAGCUAAAAUCUCUGCCUCUGAUGUUGCUGCUGUGAAAUCGUACCAAAAUGACAAGCUCCUUAUAGCUAGUCUGAGAAUCCAGAUGGUUGCCAAAGGGAUCAAACAGAGACUAAUUUUGAAUAGGUCCUCUGCUUCUGAUGAAGGACAUUAUAAGAUGGUUGUUGGCAGAGUGGAAACAGCUUUUAAACUGACUAUUGAGAAGGUCAGUAUCAUCAAGCACAUGCAGGACUGUGUGUGCACUGAAACUCAGAAUGUCACCUUUGAAGUAGAAUUAUCCAACGCUGGUAUAGAUGCCUAUUGGACCCAAAUACAAAAUUGAGUCCAAAUAAGAGCACUAUACCCUGACCAUCAAUGCCAUGAAGGAUGAAGAGGGCCAGUAUACAUUUGCAGCAGGUGAAAAGACUUCCAGUGCAAAACUAACUGUAUCAGGUGGAGCUAUAAACAGACCACUCCAUGAUGGAACUGUAGCAGAAUCCCAAACUGUUGUUCUGGUGUUUGAGAUGGCAAACCCCACCUCUGAAGGCCAGUGGCUUAAGGAUGGCCACUGUUACCUUUAGUGACAAUGUCAGGAGUGAGGAUAUAGGUGCAGUUCGCCGACUUGUCUUUGUUAUCACAAGACCACAAGAUAUUGGGAAGUACAUCUAUCAAGUGGCAAACUCCAAGACAUCUGCCAGCCUAAGGGUUAAAGCUGUGAAGAUCAAGAAAACACUGAAGAACCAAAUAGUCACCAAAACCCAAGAGGCAGUGUUUAGUUUUGAACUCACUCAUUUAGAUGUGAAAGGAUCCCAGUAAUUCAAGAAUGGAAUAGAAAUUGUUCCUAGUGACAAAUAUGAUAUAACAGUAGAUGGAUUGGUUCAUACUUUAAAGAUCAAGAAUUGCAGGUCCCAAGAUCAGUCUAUGGAUUUAAACUGGGAAAACUCCAAUGGCCCAGUCAUCCACUAAAAUGUUUGUCUAACAUGAUGAACGUAACAUGAUGUAAAUGUUAUGUUAUGUUAUGUUUAUGAAUAAAAUAACUCUCAAGAA